CUGUGUUUUGCUUUCGCGAGGCCCGAAGGGAAAAUGCCGGGAAGGUUCGAAGCGGCUUCGCGUUCGCUUUGGCCUCCUCGGCCGUGUUCAUCCGCACGCCUGCCCCAGGAAGCCUUUCAGAUGCGGGCGCAUGGAGGUAUCACCUGAUGCUGGUACGGACAUCUCGUUGGCUGUGACCAGGUCCCAAGGCCACUGCCUGUGGCAAGGGUGAUUGGGAAGUUGAGGCCCUGGACCGAGUGUGCCCCCUGAGAAGCGGGCAUGGCUGCUAAGGACUGGAGAAGGCUCCGUGUGACCCUGCCAGGAGGGGCUGGGUGGUUCGUCUGCUGAGGAGGAAUCUGGAAAGACGUGUGGGAGCCCCGCCCACGGCCCCCAGUGAGACCUUGGACAAGCACCCCCAUCCCUGCGCCCCAGUGUCGUCCUCUGAUGACGGGGUGACGAGCCCCUUAGCAGAAUGGCUGCCAGGGCUCAGGGAGGUGCCCCCGAGAGCCUGACCUGCAGCACUGCUGUGUUUGCCCCGUGCACUUCACAGGUUUAUCUUUUCCAGGAUAAUAAACGCAGAGGCCUGUGUGCUGGUGUAGAGGACAAAGCCACUGCUUGUGACACCGGCAUCCUACACGGGUGCCAGUUUCUGCCCCGGCUGCUCCGCUUCCCGUCCAGCUCCCUGCUGAUGGCCCGGGGAAAGCAGCAGCAGGUGGCCAAGUGCUAGGGCCCUGUCAGCCACGUGGGAGACCGGAGGAAGCGCCUGGCUUUGGCCUGGCCCAACCCUGCCUGUUGCGACCCUCGGGAGUGAGCCAGCUGAUGAAGAUCUCUCUGGCUUGCUCUCUCUGUGGGUCUGACUUUCAGAUAAAUGAAUACGUCUUUAAAAAUAAUAGAUAAUAAGUGCACAGGGAGCACCUACUGCGGAUUGGGCUCCUGCUGAAGGCUCUUCCCGCCAGAUCGGUUUCUCCCUCCGGCCUUGUGUAGAUGUCCCAGUCAGCCAGCAGAUAGGUGGCAGGAUUCAAACCCAGGUCAUCUGAUGCCGCUCCUGGAAGUCCAGCCUGCGCUUUCCAAACCACAGUGUCCUGCCCGCGCCCCGGGAUGUGUCCUCCCUCUGCUCGUGGAAGAACGCCCACGCUCAGCCACCUGGGGAGCAUGGACGCACUGCUCGGCUCUUACCUGAUAAAAUCCCACGCCCAGGACUGUCUCCCUGAAUGCUGACUGACUGACUGAUUUGAAGGAGUCACAGAGACUGUCCAUCUGCCAGUUCACUCCCCAGCGCCAGGCCAAAGCCAGGAGCCCGGAGCUUCUUCCAGGUCGCCCAUGAGGGUAGCAGGGGUCCAGCACUUGGCCGUCAGCAGGGAGCUGGAUGGGCAGUGGAGCAGCUGGGACACUGGCCAGCGCCCAUACGGGAUGCCAGCAUCACAGAUGGCGGCUGUGCCGGCUACGCCACGGCACUGCCCCCAUCACGGUUGAUCGGGAGCCAUGGCUGCUGCUUGCAGGCCGCUCCGCAGCGUGACGGACGGGCUAGUGGGCGGUUAGGGGGUCCCGGUGGGAAUGAGGAAAGGGGGCGUCCUCCAGAGAGGGUGCAGAAUGCUGGCUUUCAGCAAGGUGAGAGUGCUGAGCCCACUGCAUGCCUCUCCCCAGGAGCGGCCUGCAGCAGGACGGAAGCGCCUAUCCCUCUCCUGGGAGCUUCCAGCUGUGUCAUGAGAACAGCCAGGGAGCGGUGGUCCCACCCUUCUGAGUCCCCGAGCAGACAGAUCCCACCCUUCUGUGGCUGUCAUGUCCAGAGCAAGCCGGACAGGCCAGGCAGGAUGACAGGCCCUGCUUUCCCUGGGUUUUGUCCCUGGCUUGUCUGAUCGUUAUCUGCGUUCUGUUUUUUUGUUUCCUCUCUCAGUUCCAGGGUGGGGAGGUCUGCCUCUUGGAGCUCCCACUCUUGAUCACUGCGAGGUGGUUUCUGACUUAAAUAAACCCUGCUUUCCUGUG